rnacentral:lncRNA from 1 species
UGUUUUCCAGAGUCCUUUCCAUUUACACUGGAAGCUGUGUCUCCCAAUCUUCAGAGUCUUUUUCUUUUUUAAGAAAAUAAAGCUCUCCUUUGUUUUUCCUUUGCAGAAACCAUGGUCUUUUUUAAACACAUGUGUAUUUGUCCAUGUUCAUGUGGCUAUCAAGAUACUACCUGAGAUUAGUAUAAUUAUUGAAAACUGUGGUUUCUGGUCUGACGUAAGGAGAUUGGAAGUUUUCACUCCUGGCCUCACAACAAGAAAAAAGAUGAACAAAUUAUUGUUAAAUCCGUCAGAGAACUGAUUCCCAGGACAAACUGCUGUCCCCUAAAUUGGAGGGACAGACGAGUGGAUACAGAGAAUCACAGCUUACUCGAGCAGAAGCCACCGUGGGAACCCACUCUGGAGUAAGGAAACCUAAACUGUGACUGAGGAACUGCUGGACAAGCUCAGAACCUCCUGGGAGACCCACACUUGCAUAAGUUUUCCUCCCAGGAGCUCCACUAGAUUCUCAUAGUGUAGAUCAAAGAAAAAUCCCACUUUUGGCAGAGAUAAGAAGGAAGUAACCAUUUGGAAAUAUGC